rnacentral:tRNA from 1 species
GGAGAGGUGUCCGAGUGGUCGAAGGAGCGCGACUGGAAAUCGCGUGCACUGCCAAAACGGUGCCGAGGGUUCGAAUCCCUCUCUCUCCG